AUUAUUAUUAAUUGUAAUUUUUAUUUUAUUUUUUUUUAUUUUUUUUUCUUCUUAUCCUUAUUAUCAUCGUUGUUGAUCAUUUUUUGUUAACUCUUUAUUUUGUUAUAUUUACUGCGGUAUUACAUAAAAAUUUUUCGAAAAUAAUCGCCUUGUGAUUCUUGCAUAGUAGUUUCGAUAAUUCUUGAAUUUAAAUAAAUCUCAAGCACAAGAUUAAUAAUCCCAAUCAGAAGGAAUGUUUUCGUAUUUUAUUUUUUCGAAUUUUCAAUAUAUCGGGGAAAAAAUUAUAUUUUCAGAUAUAAAUUAUAUUUAUUAACUUUUUGUGCAAUUCUAUCACGGACUAUGAAAAAGAAAAAAAAAAAAAAGAAAACGAAAUUGUUAAACUUUGUAAUAUCCGUAGGUAUACGAUUGCGUAAUGAUAUGCUUCUUCACGGAUGGAAACGUUGCGUUUUAAGACUAUACAUUAGAAUUGUAAGUACGUAAGCGACAGAAACAGACACUUUUGCGAGAUUAAAAUAAUCCCGAAGUUUUUUGAAAAUAGUUCCCACUUUUACGUAAUACAAAGAAAGAUUUACAGAUGCCAUGGCCUUAAAAAACGUACAUCUAAAAAAGUUCUUAUAAUAUACAUACAUACAGCGGUAUUUGACAGAUAUAUUUUAACUGAUAUUAUGUAAUCGGUAUCAAUAUCUUGUCGACAGAAAGUUGACAAGAGAUGAAUUUUUCAUGCAGCUCAAAUAUCAUUCAAGGAAUUUUAGUAAAACGCAGUUUUAUUAACAGAUGUAUAUCAUUUUACUGCUUUAAACCUCCAUCAAUUCAAUGUAUCUUUUUUUUUUUUUUUUUCAUUUCUCCAUGUUAUAUAUUAUCAAUAAUUUUAUUUCAGUUAAAUUUUACGAUCCGUUAAAAAGUGGAUAUAUAUAUAUAUAUAAAAAUAAACAAAUAUAUAUUUUGAAUUUUGUAAAAAUAUGAAGUACGAGAUUCAAUUAAUGUGUAUAUGCUAAUAUCUAAACAACGUUUUUAAUAUUGUUACUAAUACUUUGAUACAUUGAAAUCGAUGAAGGUUUAAAAAACGAUAAACAAGAGGUUAAGUUGCGAUUUCAUGAAACGUGAAACGCAUAAACGCAGCCUUACAUUGUAUUUUCAUAUAGUACAACACGCCGAUACGUGGAAAUAAUAAUCGAUAAGUUGGUCGUUUUUGUAUUCUCGGGUCUACUUGUUAUCGAUUGCGAUCGAGAUGAAUCGCCGUGUUUUCGAUACAUAGGACGUUCAGUGCUUCCGAACCGAACGAACUGUAUAUUCUUUGAUUCGAUGAUCACGUUCGCUGUUUAUCGAUAUUAGAGUGUCCAAGAGAGCAUCUUACGAUUUGCGCGAUUUAUAUUGAAAGGAUAAGGUUAAAUUGAGACGACCGGAAAUAACAUGAGAGGCAGAAAGAAAAAUAAGAGGAAAAAAGAGCUGUAUUACGUGUAAGCGAGAAAGAGUAGUUAUCAGGAUAGAUAGUCAGAGUUUUGUAAGUGAAAAAAGAGCAAAACAUCUAUUUUUCACGAGACGGCGAUCGUGAAAAUAUGUACAAUAAGUUCAAUUGUAAAUACGUCACGCGUAAAUAUCUUACUUAAGUAUAUAUAUAUAUAUAAUAUCGUUCGAAGAAACGAUCAUAAUAAUAAUUAUAAUAAUAUCAAUAUACUAGCCGUAAGGCCAAAAACUUUGCUCCUUAAAAAUACUUUUCUAAGUAGACAAAACAGAAAAGAAAAAAAAACGCGCGUUUAAACGAGUCAUUGUUUUUUAGCUAAGUAAACUCGAUUUCCACGCUUUAACGUUAUAUAUAAAAAAAAAAAAAAUACUGCAAAGGAAAAAAAAACGAAAAAUGAUAGAUUACGGUUGGUAUUCAAUAAUACCGAAAGGAUAAAAAUAUUAAACAAGCAAGAUGACGAGACUUUUUUGUAUGAACUAAUUUUUUUCAUAUAAUUCGCGUUUAUUAGAAUAUAAGAUGAUUGAUAUAAAUCGUUGAAUAUAAUACGUCGUCGCAAUACACGAGAUGAUGAAAUGAGUAUAAAAGAAAAAGGAAAUAACUGAAGUCGAUAUAUAUUUAGAAACGAGUAUAUGGAAAAUAUUAAUCGAAAUUUAAUUAAAACAUUCUCGAUUCCAUCGAGAUCGAGGAUGAAAGAAGCAAUACAAUAUUGUAUUGUAAAAGUAUUAAAUACGUGUGGAUUUAUUUUAAUUAUUUUCCGUUUUCACACGCUAAAAGAUGAAAAAUGAAAAAGAGAGAAAAACGAAAAACCGGUAAAUGACGUACUGAUAUAUUUAAAGAACUUAUGUAUACAUAGGAAUGGAGAAAGGGAGAUGUCUGCAUAGGAAUUGAAAAAAAAAAAAAUAAUAAAUUUUAUCUUUGGUGCAUAAAGGAAAUAUAAAAAUCAAUUAAUGAUCAUUAAUGAUUAUUAUUUAAUCAUUAAAGCAAAAAAGAAACAGGAGAAAAAAAAAUGGCCUAUAUAUAGAAAAGAAUCGUUCUUCUUUAAUUUUUUUUUAUUUUUCUUAGGCGAAACCGACGGACUGUAUAGCGUAUAGACGUAAUAAAUUUAGCGAUCAAAAAGUGGACUCGAAUUCUAGAGAUGAGGAGAGAAAAGAAGACAACGCACUUACGAUCAUUUUCUUUUUAAAUGUAAAACUCGCACUUGCACUCUAUUUAUCUUUUUCUGCGUUCUAUGAUGUUCGCGCGGCGACAAACUGUAUUAUUCAAGUGUAUAAUAGACCACUUAGCCCAUAAACCGAUAUAAAAGAUAUUAAUUCGAUAAUUGGACUCGAUCAACGUUCUUGUCCAAGGUGAUGCAGCCAAGAUUAUUUUUAUCCCUUUGAAAACGCCGACCUAAACAAUAUAUAAUAUAUUAAUCUCGAAAAAUUUCGUCAAUAGGAAUUUUUGUUACUCAAUUUUGUUCAAUAUUUAUUUAAAAAGGGAAGACAAAAGUUUCUCGAUAGUUUUAUUUUUUAAAACAAAAAUUCUGCUAUAAUUCGAACGGUGUACAACGCAAUGCAGAAAUCAAAAAAAAAAAAAAAAAUAAAUUGACUGUAUCGUCUUGCGCAUGCCUGUGUAUUAUAGUGAAACGCACGAAUUAUCAUGUGUCAUAUAAAUAUAUACAUAUAAAUAUAAAAUAUAUAUAUAUAUAUAUAAAUACAAGAAAUAUAUAUAUAAAUAACUAACAAUAAUGAUAAUAAUUAAGUACCUUACGUAUAAGCAGUAUCCAAGAAAUCCGAACUAGUUGCACCAAGUGCCAUAGUCCAUAGGUCACAGUACGUUUAACAUAGCGAGGGUGAGACUAUUCGUAGCAGUUGCUAGGAAUGAAAGAAAAGAAAAAGUAUAAAAAAAAAAAUGGGGAAAAACUGAAAAAAAAAACAUCCACAUAGAAUGAAUAAAAAAAAAAAAAAAAAGAAAGGAGAAAACGAAAAAAAGAAAAAGCAGGUCGAACACAGGUAGAGUUCGACGACUAGCUAUGUCGUGUUCUUAUUGCUUAUUGUUAAGGCAAACGAGCGCGAAGCAGCAGCAAGCAAUCAGCUAAAAACACGCAAGGAAGAAAAAAAAAAAAGUAAAGGGAGAAAGAGAAGGAAAGUUAUGUAGUCCGUGUGACCCGAGAUUUCCAAUGGGCCGGUUUCGCCCAUCUUUUGGAGAACGUUUUAGAGCAUAAAGCAGACACCAAUAUGACAAUAUAAUAAUGAAAUUAAUUUCCGGCUCGGUUACUAUUACCCAUUGCCUCCACAUCCCCUUUAAAAGAAACUUGAAAGGAAAAACGAAAAAAAAAGAAAAAAAAAAACAAACAAACAAAACACCGGACAUCCAUUUAUUGUACAAUUUCGCCGUUUAUUUUUCGACACAUUAGUACAUGCGAUUAGACGUGGAUCCCGGCUCGCGUAAUCCAUGCGUUCCCCGACAAAAGAGAUAAAGAAUGCGAGAGAGAGAGAGAAAGAUCGAACGAGCGUGAGAGAGGGAGAGAAAGGAAAAGAAGAAACACAACUGUAAAACACAUUAUGGCCGUGAAUGAAUCGAAGCGAGAUGCGUGUGACCGUUCUUUUUUUUUUUCUUUUUGCGAGAACAUUAUCAAUUAUCUUAAAGGAAGAAAAAAAUGACAAAAAAAACUGUAGUAACGUCGCAAUUGUAUGUUGUAAACAUUACUAUUUCAAAUAUAAUGUCAUUAUUAACAGGA